CAAGUCGAGCGAAGCAGUUAAGUUGAUUUCUUCGGAUUGAUUCUUAACUGACUGAGCGGCGGACGGGUGAGUAACGCGUGGGUGACCUGCCCCAUACCGGGGGAUAACAGCUGGAAACGGCUGCUAAUACCGCAUAAGCGCACAGAGCUGCAUGGCUCCGUGUGAAAAACUCCGGUGGUAUGGGAUGGGCCCGCGUCUGAUUAGGCAGUUGGCGGGGUAACGGCCCACCAAACCGACGAUCAGUAGCCGGCCUGAGAGGGCGACCGGCCACAUUGGGACUGAGACACGGCCCAAACUCCUACGGGAGGCAGCAGUGGGGAAUAUUGCACAAUGGGGGAAACCCUGAUGCAGCGACGCCGCGUGAGCGAAGAAGUAUUUCGGUAUGUAAAGCUCUAUCAGCAGGGAAGAUAAUGACGGUACCUGACUAAGAAGCCCCGGCUAACUACGUGCCAGCAGCCGCGGUAAUACGUAGGGGGCAAGCGUUAUCCGGAUUUACUGGGUGUAAAGGGAGCGUAGACGGCAAGGCAAGUCUGAUGUGAAAACCCAGGGCUUAACCCUGGGACUGCAUUGGAAACUGUCUGGCUCGAGUGCCGGAGAGGUAAGCGGAAUUCCUAGUGUAGCGGUGAAAUGCGUAGAUAUUAGGAAGAACACCAGUGGCGAAGGCGGCUUUCUGGACUGAAACUGACGCUGAGGCUCGAAAGCGUGGGGAGCA
rnacentral:rRNA from 1 species